rnacentral:rRNA from 1 species
AAGCUCGUAGUUGAAUUUCGAGAUCAGUACGCUGGUCGUGCCUUCGGUAUGCACUGGUGUCACUGGUUUCUCCCUUCUGAAGAACCGUCAUGUCAUUAAGUUGGUGUGGCGGGGAAUCAGGACUGUUACUUUGAAAAAAUUAGAGUGUUUAAAGCAGGCUCGCGCUUGAGUACGUUAGCAUGGAAUAAUGAAAUAGGACGUUUGACCCUAUUUUGUUGGUUUCUAGGAUCGACGUAAUGAUUAAUAGGGAUAGUUGGGGGCAUUAGUAUUCAAUUGUCAGAGGUGAAAUUCUUGGAUUUAUUGAAGACUAACUACUGCGAAAGCAUUUGCCAAGGAUGUUUUCAUUAAUCAAGAACGAAGGUUAGGGGAUCGAAGACGAUCAGAUACCGUCGUAGUCUUAACCAUAAACUAUGCCGACUAGGGAUCGGAUGAUGUUAAUUUUUUAAUGUCUCAUUCGGCGCCUUACGGGAAACCAAAGUGUUUGGGUUCCGGGGGGAGUAUGGUCGCAAGGCUGAAACUUAAAGGAAUUGACGGAAGGGCACCACCAGGGGUGGAGCCUGCGGCUUAAUUUGACUCAACACGGGGAAA